UACGUAGGGUGCAAGCGUUAAUCGGAAUUACUGGGCGUAAAGCGUGCGCAGACGGUUUUGUAAGACAGGCGUGAAAUCCCCGGGCUUAACCUGGGAAUGGCGCUUGUGACUGCAAAGCUGGAGUGCGGCAGAGGGGGAUGGAAUUCCGCGUGUAGCAGUGAAAUGCGUAGAUAUGCGGAGGAACACCGAUGGCGAAGGCAAUCCCCUGGGCCUGCACUGACGCUCAUGCACGAAAGCGUGGGGAGCAAACAGG
rnacentral:rRNA from 1 species